GCCCACGUAACUCAGUGGUAGAGUACCUCCUUGGUAAGGAGGAAGUCACCGGUUCAAGUCCGGUCGUGGGCUCCA
rnacentral:tRNA from 10 species